rnacentral:piRNA from 1 species
GGCAUAAACUAGAGCGUGAGUCUUUGCUC